AGAAAGAGAGAGAGGAGAGAGAAAGAGAGAGAGAGAGAGCCACCGCCGGCCACCGGAUUUUGCCACUGUUCCGGCCGAGUUACUGUACACACGCCGGACAGAAAGCUUGCCCACCUCAUUUCCGGCAAAACCUCCAAAUUUCACAGCGAACGGCCUCCGGACGCGCCCGGAUCGGACGUCCGAAGUUUGGCGGCGAUUUUUCCCCCUCCACCGCCGGCCACCGCGAAUCGGCACUAUUCCGGCCGAUAAACAGUACACGCGCCAUACACCCAGCAUCCUCUCCUCAAGUCCGGCCUACCCACCAAAAAUCACGGCCAUCGGACCACCGACGCGCCGGGAUCGGAGCGUUUUCCGGCGAGGGGUCGAAAAUCUUCAAACGGUGAUUUCUCCGCCGUCCGACCUCCGUUUUGCUCACCGUCGGUCCCGUUGGAUUGCUCUCCUCACGAUCUACAAAUCUGCAAAAUUUCACAGCAAACGGCCACCGUCGGAAAUUACUGUUCCGGCGACGGUUGCCGGUGACGUGGCGGCCCGCCGGAAAUUACUGUUCCGGCGAGUACCCGAAAAUUCCGGCCAGCUCCAGUCCGCAGUGUUCGACCUCCUGAACCCAAAUCCGACUUCCGUUUCCACCAAUUCGCGACGGUUUGGGAGAAUUGCGGAGCCGAAACCCAAAAAGCUUCCCGAUAAAAUUCAAACCCCGUCGGGUACGAUCAUCGGAAAUUAAGACCGGAUCUGUGAUUAGCAUCACUCGAGCUUCGAUUCGGAGCACCGGUGAGUCGUAGAAUUGAUCCCGUAGUGGAUCAUGGGUUAAUUGCGUGCUCCAGGAAGAGGUUUCGCUCUGCAGCACCUUUGGAAAGAGGGAACAUACUUGGAUUGCAUUUUCUCGGAUCAGGAGGAGAUGAGAACCAUUGACUGACCAUGGUUGUUUUACCUAGACCCUGUUACGAUCGGCACUCGACUUGAAUGAGAACAAAAAAAUGUUCCUACUUAAUUGUUCCACACCAAGAGUUUCCUGGGUAAACCACACUUGCCUAGUAAUCAUUCGCACCUUGUUUCUGCAAAUACUUUUUGCUGAGAUGACUUUCCCAACUAAGCAGCAUUGAGAGAUCGUUAUGUCCUGCUGUUCAUCAACUACCAGGUGAAGUUCUGGAACUCCAGAUAUCCUCACCUGGGUAUUGUCCUCCAUGGAGGAAUCGCUAGGCCCAGACGAAGCCAGUCAAUAACUGCCACCAAUGGAUGGGAGUCGUACACAUGGUACAUGUCACAAGCGAACGGGAACAAAACGGGUUGAAUUUUUCAUCAUGGAAAUUCCUUAAUCUUGAUGAAACUCUCUACUUGUGUCUCAUAGAAGGGCAUGACAAAAGCAAAGCUAAUUACUAGUUAUAUACAUGUUGUGUUUGGUAUUGAUUUUAGAGCUCCUAAACUAAAGCUAUUUUUAAAUGUUUGGUAAAAUUUAAAAAUUUUG